GACGAACGCUGGCGGCGUGCUUAACACAUGCAAGUCGAACGGAAAGGCCCUGCUUGCAGGGUACUCGAGUGGCGAACGGGUGAGUAACACGUGGGUGAUCUGCCCUGCACUUCGGGAUAAGCCUGGGAAACUGGGUCUAAUACCGGAUAGGAGCCAUUUUUAGUGUGAUGGUUGGAAAGUUUUUUCGGUGUAGGAUGAGCUCGCGGCCUAUCAGCUUGUUGGUGGGGUAAUGGCCUACCAAGGCGGCGACGGGUAGCCGGCCUGAGAGGGUGGACGGCCACAUUGGGACUGAGAUACGGCACAGACACCUACGGGAGGCAGCAGGGGGGAAUAUUGCACAAUGGGCGCAAGCCUGAUGCAGCGACGCCGCGUGGGGGAUGACGGCCUUCGGGUUGUAAACUCCUUUCGCUAGGGACGAAGCUUUUUGUGACGGUACCUAGAUAAGAAGCACCGGCUAACUACGUG
rnacentral:rRNA from 1 species